UGAGCCGGUUUAAAACCAACGUGUGUAAGGGUUUGAUUGUGAGCCCGGAAAAACAAUCGGGGUUGGUUCUAGUCGGUGAGCCUGGGAAAACCGACCGAGUUCGUUGUGAGCUCGUAAAACAACAAUUUUGGUUGUGAGCUUGCAAAACAACCGACUGUAAUCCAAGGGGGUUAUAGUGAAUUCCCAAGUGAGACUUGGGGAGUGGACGUAGGAGCAAGGGUUAGCUCC
rnacentral:lncRNA from 1 species